UCACAGUGAAGUCCCCUUUCGUAUCCAGCAUCCAAAGAUGGUUAUCCAGCAUAUCGUGCUCAGCAUAUCCAAAGAUGUAGCUUGUCCAGUAUUUUUUUGAUUAAUCCUUGAAAGGAAAAUCGUGUCUGCCAAUUCCAGUAAUUCUUUGCACCUUGUUACUCACCUCUUCACUUGAACAAUUAUGCAUAUACAAUGCUGAUUUUGAUUUACUGACCAAUUGUCCUGAUGCCACUUCAUAUGAAUUCAAGACCUCCAUAACAAGGUGUAGUGAAGUAUCAUCUGACGAGCAAAAUACUUCACUUUCUCAAGGUACUACUCAUCUUUAUCCUUUAGCUCGCAACUGUUUUAGUUUUUUUUACUGUAGAUUGCAACAUUUAUAAAUUUCUUCCCUUUUCCAGCUGCAUCACCUGUAAAAGGGUGGUUUUAUACAUAUGUGUUGGUGCUUCGGUACUAAUUACACCCUAUGUUCCCAUAAUUGACAACAAUCCCAUGUCACGUACGUUACCUAAAUUUCUGGGCAGAAAUAUUGUUGUUGGAGUUAGGAAUUCACCAACAGUAUGAUCUAGCUGAGAGGUUAUAGCUUGUAGCCUUUUAUUUCUGACAGAUCUACCUGCCUCUCAAGCAGAAAUAUUGUUGUUGGAGUUAGGAAUUCAUGCAAAGCUCAUUUGCCUUCUCCCUGUAUGUAAUGUCCAAAUAAUUGGAUGUGUUUGAUGCCUCCACCCAUCCUUUAGCUUUGAAAUCCCCAGACUGUCCCUCCUUCUCAAUGGCUCAACUGAUGUAUUAUAGACAGUUCUGGGCUGCCUCUUCUGGUGAUAAUUUCAGCAGUACUUACAUUGUCCUUGAUUAUUGGAACUCCUCCUCGCUUCCUUGCUUAUGCUCAUCGCUGAUACACCUUCCUAGGAAUGAGCACAUAGUGCUAAUACCACCCAAGGCAGGUUGAUCAGUUGUUGAACAAACAGCGAGGACUGAUAAGCUUCCUUGCUUAUGCUUAUAUUUGUUUCCUGGAAGAAUGUCAGGAAUAUUGCAGCAGCUACAGCUGCUAGUUUGAUAUAAAAUCCCACUGAUAACUGAUGAGCAUUAUCCAUCAACAGGUGUUAGCCAUCAAGAACUUGAAUGAAUAGAUCCGUUUUCAAUACUCAAUUUAUCUAGGAGCUAAGCUAGCUUUGUAUAUCUUAAAUUUGUCAGAUUAGUUGCCAAGUCUUGCAUAAAUUUCAUAUGUUUUUGCUUUUUAUAUUGGUGUGAUAAUCCUUGUCUUGCAUUACUCUUAUAUUUAGUGAUUGCUAGUAGAAGAAAAUUUGCUUGCUUAUGGGUACAUCUACGGUGCUCAUAUAUUUCAUUCUAUUGACAUAGUUAUUUUCUAAUUUCAGGUCAUAUAUGAUGGAUAAUUUAGCGGGUCAAAGAUUUCAAUAUGAUGAAGAGUUGCAAAUAUUACUUGAAGAUUAUUAUUCAUUGGAAUUAAUCAUCUAAUGACAUUAUUUAUUUACUUAAGACAAUAUAUACUUUUUU
rnacentral:lncRNA from 1 species